rnacentral:rRNA from 1 species
CAGCAGCCGCGGUAAUACGUAGGUCCCGAGCGUUGUCCGGAUUUAUUGGGCGUAAAGCGAGCGCAGGCGGUUAGAUAAGUCUGAAGUUAAAGGCUGUGGCUUAACCAUAGUACGCUUCGGAAACUGUUUAACUUGAGUGCAGAAGGGGAGAGUGGAAUUCCAUGUGUAGCGGUGAAAUGCGUAGAUAUAUGGAGGAACACCGGUGGCGAAAGCGGCUCUCUGGUCUGUAACUGACGCUGAGGCUCGAAAGCGUGGGGAGCGAACAGGUUUAGAUACCCCCGUAGUCCCUGUCUCUUAUACA